rnacentral:rRNA from 1 species
UCCUACGGGUGGCUGCAGUGGGGAAUAUUGGACAAUGGGCGCAAGCCUGAUCCAGCCAUGCCGCGUGAGUGAUGAAGGCCCUAGGGUUGUAAAGCUCUUUUGUGCGGGAAGAUAAUGACUGUACCGCAAGAAUAAGCCCCGGCUAACUUCGUGCCAGCAGCCGCGGUAAUACGAAGGGGGCUAGCGUUGCUCGGAAUCACUGGGCGUAAAGCGCACGUAGGCGGACUCUUAAGUCGGUGGUGAAAGCCUGGAGCUCAACUCCAGAACUGCCUUCGAGACUGGGAGGCUAGAGUUCGGGAGAGGUGAGUGGAACUGCGAGUGUAGAGGUGAAAUUCGUAGAUAUUCGCAAGAACACCAGUGGCGAAGGCGGCUCACUGGCCCGAUACUGACGCUGAGGUGCGAAAGCGUGGGGAGCAAACAGGAUUAGAUACCCUAGUAGUC